ACGAACGCUGGCGGCGUGCUUCACACAUGCAAGUCGAACGGAAAGGCCCUGCUUUUGUGGGGUGCUCGAGUGGCGAACGGGUGAGUAACACGUGAGUAACCUGCCCUUGACUUUGGGAUAACUUCAGGAAACUGGGGCUACUACCGGAUAGGAGCUCCUGCUGCAUGGUGGGGGUUGGAAAGUUUCGGCGGUUGGGGAUGGACUCGCGGCUUAUCAGCUUGUUGGUGGGGUAGUGGCUUACCAAGGCUUUGACGGGCAGCCGGCCUGAGAGGGUGACCGGCCACAUUGGGACUGAGAUACGGCCCAGACUCCUACGGGAGGCAGCAGUGGGGAAUAUUGCACAAUGGGCGGAAGCCUGAUGCAGCAACGCCGCGUGCGGGAUGACGGCCUUCGGUUUGGAAACCGCUUUCGCCUGUGACGAAGCGUGAGUGACGGUAAUGGGUAAAGAAGCACCGGCUAACUACGUG
rnacentral:rRNA from 1 species